UGAGGAAUAUUGGACAAUGGGCGCAAGCCUGAUCCAGCCAUGCCGCGUGCAGGAAGAAGCAUCUAUGGUGUGUAAACUGCUUUUGUACGGGAAGAAACACUCCUACGUGUAGGAGCUUGACGGUCCCGUAAGAAUAAGGAUCGGCUAACUCCGUGCCAGCAGCCGCGGUAAUACGGAGGAUCCAAGCGUUAUCCGGAAUCAUUGGGUUUAAAGGGUCCGUAGGCGGUUUAAUAAGUCAGUGGUGAAAGCCCAUCGCUCAACGAUGGAACGGCCAUUGAUACUGUUAGACUUGAAUUACAAGGAAGUAACUAGAAUAUGUAGUGUAGCGGUGAAUGCUUAGAUAUUACAUGGAAUACCAAUUGCGAGGGCAGGUUACUACUUGUGGAUUGACGCUGAUGGACGAAAGCGUGGGGAGCGAACA
rnacentral:rRNA from 1 species